ensembl:miRNA microRNA 20a
UAAAGUGCUUAUAGUGCAGGUAGUGUUUUGCACAAUCUACUGCAAUGUAAGCACUUGAAGU